AAGUGAAGGGUUUGAUCCUGGCUCAGAAUGAACGUUGGCGGCGUGGAUUAGGCAUGCAAGUCGUGCGGGUACCCGGUUUGGUUUUCCGAGCCGGGGAAAGCGGCGAAAGGGAGAGUAACGCGUGGAUUACCUGCCCCCGGGACCGGGAUAGCGGCGGGAAACUGCCGGUAAUACCGGAUAACGUCUCCGGACCAAAGGGUGCGAUUCCGCCUGGGGAGGGGUCCGCGUCCUAUUAGCUUGUUGGUGAGGUAACGGCUCACCAAGGCGACGAUGGGUAGCGGGUGUGAGAGCAUGGCCCGCCUCACUGGGACUGAGACACUGCCCAGACACCUAUGGGUGGCUGCAGUCGAGAAUCUUCGGCAAUGGGCGCAAGCCUGACCGAGCGACGCCGCGUGCGGGAUGAAGGCCUUCGGGUUGUAAACCGCUGUCAGAGGGGAGGAAAUCCACGGGGGUCAUCCCCUGUGGUUGACCCAUCCUCAGAGGAAGGACGGGCUAAGUUCGUGCCAGCAGCCGCGGUAACACGAACCGUCCGAACGUUAUUCGGAAUCACUGGGCUUAAAGGGUGCGUAGGCGGUCCGGCAAGUUGGGUGUGAAAGCCCUCGGCUCAACCGAGGAACGGCGCCCAAAACUGCCGGGCUGGAGGGAGACAGAGGUGAGCGGAACUUGCGGUGGAGCGGUGAAAUGCGUUGAUAUCGCAAGGAACACCGGUGGCGAAAGCGGCUCACUGGGUCUCUUCUGACGCUGAGGCACGAAAGCUAGGGGAGCGAACAGGAUUAGAUACCCUGGUAGUCCUAGCUGUAAACGAUGAGCACUGGAUCGGAGGGUCCCUCAUAGCCUUCCGGUCGAAGCGAAAGUGUUAAGUGCUCCGCCUGGGGAGUAUGGUCGCAAGGCUGAAACUCAAAGGAAUUGACGGGGGCUCACACAAGCGGUGGAGGAUGUGGCUUAAUUCGAGGCUACGCGAAGAACCUUAUCCUGGGCUUGACAUGCGCGGAUGGGCCGCCCGAAAGGGAUGGUCUCUGCCCUCGUGGUGAAACGCGCACAGGUGCUGCAUGGCUGUCGUCAGCUCGUGUCGUGAGAUGUCGGGUUAAGUCCCUUAACGAGCGAAACCCCUGUCGCUAGUUGCCAGCGGGUCAUGCCGGGGACUCUAGCGAGACUGCCGGUGUUAAACCGGAGGAAGGUGGGGAUGACGUCAAGUCCUCAUGGCCCUUAUGCCCAGGGCUGCACACGUCCUACAAUGGCGGGUACAAAGGGAAGCGAACCCGCGAGGGCAAGCAAAUCCCAAAAAGCCCGCCUCAGUUCGGAUUGCAGGCUGCAACCCGCCUGCAUGAAGCCGGAAUCGCUAGUAAUCGCGGGUCAGCAUACCGCGGUGAAUGUGUUCCUGAGCCUUGUACACACCGCCCGUCAAGCCACGGGAGUGGGGGGCACCCGAAGUCGCCAAGCUAACCCCGCACCAAUUUCCGCGGAGAGGUGCGACGAACCUGGAUCGCCGCGCUCUGUGGGAAUUGGUGCGGGGAGGCAGGCGCCGAAGGUGAACUCCGCGACUGGGACUAAGUCGUAACAAGGUAGCCGUAGGGGAACCUGCGGCUGGAUCAC
rnacentral:rRNA from 1 species